rnacentral:rRNA from 1 species
ACGGAGGGGGCUAGCGUUGUUCGGAAUUACUGGGCGUAAAGCGCGCGUAGGCGGCUUUGUAAGUUAGAGGUGAAAGCCCGGAGCUCAACUCCGGAACUGCCUUUAAGACUGCAUCGCUAGAAUUGUGGAGAGGUGAGUGGAAUUCCGAGUGUAGUGGUGAAAUGCGUAGAUAUCCGGAGGAACACCAGUGGCGAAGGCGACUUCCUGGCCUGUUCUUGACGCUGAGGCGCGAAAGCUGGGGGAGCAAACGGGA